UCCGAGUUGAUCCCGGCAGUCUCCUAUGAGUCCCCACCAUCACGUGCUGGCAACAUAGAACGAGGGUUGCGCUCGUUGCGGGACUUAACCCAACAUCUCACGACACGAGCUGACGACAGCCAUGCAGCACCUCGCUACGAGCCCGAAGGAGACCCCCCUUCAGGGGCUGUCCCGUAGCGUUCGAGCCUGGGUAAGGUUCUUCGCGUUGCAUCGAAUUAAGCCACAUGCUCCACCGCUUGUGCGGGCCCCCGUCAAUUCAUUUGAGUUUUAACCUUGCGGCCGUACUCCCCAGGCGGUCGACUUAUCGCGUUAACUGCGCCACAAAGUCCGCGAGGGACCCAACGGCUAGUCGACAUCGUUUACGGCGUGGACUAC
rnacentral:misc_RNA from 1 species